rnacentral:rRNA from 1 species
AACGAACGCUGGCGGCAUGCCUAACACAUGCAAGUCGAACGAGACCUUCGGGUCUAGUGGCGCACGGGUGCGUAACGCGUGGGAACCUGCCCUUAGGUUCGGAAUAACUCCCCGAAAGGGGUGCUAAUACCGGAUAAUGUCUUCGGACCAAAGAUUUAUCGCCUUUGGAUGGGCCCGCGUUGGAUUAGCUAGUUGGUAGGGUAAAAGCCUACCAAGGCGAAGAUCCAUAGCUGGUAGGAGAGGAUGAUCAGCCACACUGGGACUGAGACACGGCCCAGAAUCCUACGCGAGGCAGCAGUGCGGAAUAUUGGACAAUGAGCGAAAGACUGAUCCAGCAAUGCCGCGUGAGUGAUGAAGGCCUUAGGGUUGUAAAGCUCUUUUACCCGGGAUGAUAAUGACAGUACCGGGAGAAUAAGCUCCGGCUAACUCCGUG